rnacentral:piRNA from 1 species
UGGCUGCUUCACCCAAGUCACUGGGCAAU